rnacentral:rRNA from 1 species
UACGGAGGGGUGCAAGCGUUAUCCGGAUUCACUGGGUUUAAAGGGUGCGUAGGUGGGUUGAUAAGUCAGUGGUGAAAUCCCCGAGCUUAACUUGGGAACCUGGCCAUUGAUACUAUUGAUCUUGAAUACCGUGGAGGUCAGCGGAAUAUGUCAUGUAGCGGUGAAAUGCUUAGAUAAUGACAUAGAACACCAAUUGCGAAGGCAGCUGGCUACGCGAAUAUUGACACUGAUGCACGAAAGCGUGGGGAUCAAACAGG